UCAGCCGGCCGGGCGGCCGCUCCCGUCAUAGGUCGAAAGACGGCGGGGGAGGAAAGUCCGGGCUCCACGGAGAUACGGUGCCGGAUAACGUCCGGCGGGGGGAACCCCAGGGACAGUGCCACAGAGAACAGACCGCCUCGACCGUCGUCCGGCCGCCUCGCGCAGCCGGGGACCCGGCCGGGGUAAGGGUGAAACGGUGGGGUAAGAGCCCACCGCGCUUCUGGCAACAGCGGCGGCACGGCAAACCCCACCGGGAGCAAGACCGAAUAGGAACGACGCGGACCAGCGCCUCCGGGUGCCGGGCCAGCCCAUCUCCGGGCCGGUCGUUCGGGUGGGUUGCUCGAGCCGGUCCGCAAGGGCCGGCCCAGAGGAAUGGUCGCCGGGCGGCGCAUGCCGCUCACAGAACCCGGCUUACAGGCCGGCUGACACC
rnacentral:RNase_P_RNA from 2 species